CUAGAAACAAUGUGAAUGAAUGAACACCACAACAGCUUAAGCUGCAAACAAAAUGUUUUUCACUGCCAAAACUUUAGGCCACGACUGUAGACUACAGAGCCGUUUGUCCUAAAAUCUCCAUCCCUCAGUCUGGACACUUUCAAUCAUUUCUAUCAUUUGCUUAGUUUCAAUGGACGGAUCAGCAAUACCUUAUGUUCCUUCUUUUUGCGAGAAGAUUUCCCAUUUCACUGUCAGAUUCAAACACAUAUUCGAUAAUUUUCUUCUAUUUUCAUUAUUUCCAUUACCUCCGCUAUCCGCGCCAAACAUUUGAUGCUCCAUAAUUUCCGGGAUCUCCUGCACUUCUCUCCUGAGAACGCAUCAGUAUCAGUCAGUCCUGCUGUGAUACAGAUGUUGACCACAAGAGGAAGUCGGUGAUCACCUGUCAUUCGCCCGUCUAAUGUAACAAAUAGGGCUUUUUGUUUUAAGUAUGAAAUAUUUAAAGUAAGCUACAGGUUUAAAAACUCAGUAACCCAACUCUGAGUGAUUUUCUGUCUAUUGGUGGAUCAAUAAGAACGGCUCGUCUGGUGGAAACUGUGCAGUUCUCCUUCCACUCCACUGGGCGGCGUAAGCAUCUUUCACGUUCAAAAUGACACCUUGUCAUCUCCGUAAACAACAUGACACCUUCACGACAGUCGCCGCAAUACAUUUAUAUUGUUUUACCGUCAUAAAAGUAAAAUUUCUGCAGAUGACAGCUGAAUGACAGACUCAUAAUGUCACUUAACAGCACAUAUUUCAUCCCAACCGCAAAAACAACCGGCACGCGCUGCAAUAAAGUGAAGGAAUCGACUGUCGCGCGACUCACCUAUUAAGGGAUGUUUGGACCAUUACACCGCAACACAAGCAUGUGGACAGACAUUCACUGCACAUCUGUAAUGAUGCACAUCUGCUCAUGCACAGAAGAUGUUUGGAUGUUACACCGAGCCAACAGAAGCAUGUGGACAGACAUUGACAGUAAUGAUGGACAUCUGCAAGGUAAUGCUUGUAAUAUUUCAAUGUGUUGUUGGCUUGUAAAUGUGUAGUUUUUCAUUGUUAGUGAAUGCAGCUUCUAUUUUGACUAGUGUCUGCAUGUGUUCUUUACAUGACAUUUGUCUUUACAUAUCACGUCUCUAUACAUUAAACCUGGAGAUAUACUGUAUUUACUCCUUUGGCCUGCAAUAUGAAGGAUGCAUAUGAAGCCUGAUGUGGCAGCUGUUUUCCAAACCAAACUUUUGAAAAUCUCCAGUCGACUCAGA